rnacentral:rRNA from 1 species
AUUGAACGCUGGCGGCAGGCCUAAAACAUGCAAGUCGAACGGUAACAGGAAGAAGCUUGCUUCUUUGCUGACGAGUGGCGGACGGGUGAGGAAUGUCUGGGAAACUGCCUGAUGGAGGGGGAUAACUACUGGAAACGGUAGCUAAUACCGCAUAACGUCGCAAGACCAAAGAGGGGGACCUUCGGGCCCCUUGCCAUCGGAUGUGCCCAGAUGGGAUUAGCUAGUAGGGGGGGUAACGGCUCACCUAGGCGACGAUCCCUAGCUGGUCUGAGAGGAUGACCAGCCACACUGGAACUGAGACACGGUCCAGACUCCUACGGGAGGCAGCAGUGGGGAAUAUUGCACAAUGGGCGCAAGCCUGAUGCAGCCAUGCCGCGUGUAUGAAGAAGGCCUUCGGGUUGUAAAGUACUUUCAGCGGGGAGGAAGGGAGUAAAGUUAAUACCUUUGCUCAUUGACGUUACCCGCAGAAGAAGCACCGGCUAACUCCGUG